AACAUAUCCGGACCUGGAACGGCUAAAUACCCUCG
rnacentral:sRNA from 1 species